rnacentral:lncRNA from 1 species
AGGUUUAACUGCAGCCCAUCACCAGUCAGGACCUGAUCUAUACUAGUCAUCCAUACAGAGAUAUUUCUUCAUGAUAUAAUGAAAUACGACAAGUCCAGUAUUGUGCUAUUUCUAGAAUUGACAAUCAACCAAGUUCCUGUCAUUUGUUACUCUCCUGUGAUUGCUUAGUGUCAAAUCAUCAGAGAAGAAAAGAUGGCCAAAAUAUCAUUUAACAUGUAACUGAUUUAAACAUGUUGUAAAAAAUGUGACAAAAAAUACAACAAGCAACUUAUAUUUUGUUUGAUAUAUAAACAAUUAAUAGAAAUCUAAGAUUGAUAUAAAAGUAAGGAAAUAUGGUGUAAUUUGCAAUGAGAAAACUGAAUCAGAA